GGACAGUGAGGAGUUGUAUCAAAGGUCUCGUUCGUCGUAAUGGCUUUUGCCUUGCCGACCAUUCUGAUAUAUCACCACCCAUAAUCUGAGUCC